rnacentral:miRNA from 1 species
UAUAUAUACCCUGUAGAACCGAAUUUGUGUGA